rfam:Ovis aries breed Texel chromosome 6, whole genome shotgun sequence.
UCUCUGGUGGUCCAGUGGUUAGUACUUCGUGCUUCCAAUGCAAGGGGCCCAGGUUUGAUCCCUGGCCAGGGAA